rnacentral:rRNA from 1 species
UUAAAUUGAAGAGUUUGAUCAUGGCUCAGAUUGAACGCUGGCGGCAGGCCUAACACAUGCAAGUCGAACGGUAACAGGAAGCAGCUUGCUGCUUUGCUGACGAGUGGCGGACGGGUGAGUAAUGUCUGGGAAACUGCCUGAUGGAGGGGGAUAACUACUGGAAACGGUAGCUAAUACCGCAUAACGUCGCAAGACCAAAGAGGGGGACCUUAGGGCCUCUUGCCAUCGGAUGUGCCCAGAUGGGAUUAGCUAGUAGGUGGGGUAACGGCUCACCUAGGCGACGAUCCCUAGCUGGUCUGAGAG